UAAUCGAACGAUUUUUGUAACAGGAUGUGUUACUAAAGAUGACUGCCCUGACAGCUACUGGACUCACAGUCAUCAUUGCAAUAAGGAUCAACGUCACUGUGUAGACACAAAAUGUGCGUGCGGCCACUUUUAACAAAAGGAGCGGAGCAGUGCCACACUCUCUGAUCUGUGUUAAUUUUGUAAUAAAUGAAUCUUGAAUCAUA